AAGUCGUAACAAGGUUUCCGUAGGUGAACCUGCGGAAGGAUCAUUAACACGUAUCCAAACGUUAAAACAACCCUGUGAACCUUCAGCGUGUUCUUGCAGGGCAUCAAAACAGCAAUCCCGAGUAAAUCAGGCGCUAAAGAAUUACAGAUUUUGAUUUUGGGAAGUUCUGUGUGUACGUGGACGCUGCAAUUGAGCGCUAGAUAAAGCACCCCAGGGAUCAAUGUUCAGGGUGGCGCAGUCAACGAUCGCUGUAGGUCCACACGACCGGCGACCGGGGUGGAGGCGAAAGCCCCUACGUCAUCCCUAUGUACCCUCCGGGACUUGGCGAAAGCUGACUCCGUCAUAAAUCGAACAACUGUUAACAAUGGAUAUCUUGGUUCUC
rnacentral:misc_RNA from 1 species